AGGGUUAAAACUCAAAUGAAUUGACGGGGGCCCGCACAAGCGGUGGAGCAUGUGGUUUAAUUCGAUGCAACGCGAAGAACCUUACCUACUCUUGACAUCCAGAGAACUUAGCAGAGAUGGUUUGGUGCCUUCGGGAACUCUGAGACAGGUGCUGCAUGGCUGUCGUCAGCUCGUGUUGUGAAAUGUUGGGUUAAGUCCCGCAACGAGCGCAACCCUUAUCCUUUGUUGCCAGCGGUCCGGCCGGGAACUCAAAGGAGACUGCCAGUGAUAAACUGGAGGAAGGUGGGGAUGACGUCAAGUCAUCAUGGCCCUUACGAGUAGGGCUACACACGUGCUACAAUGGCGCAUACAAAGAGAAGCGACCUCGCGAGAGCAAGCGGACCUCAUAAAGUGCGUCGUAGUCCGGAUUGGAGUCUGCAACUCGACUCCAUGAAGUCGGAAUCGCUAGUAAUCGUAGAUCAGAAUGCUACGGUGAAUACGUUCCCGGGCCUUGUACACACCGCCCGUCACACCAUGGGAGUGGGUUGCAAAAGAAGUAGGUAG
rnacentral:rRNA from 1 species